rnacentral:rRNA from 1 species
AGGGCACCACCAGGAGUGGAGCCUGCGGCUUAAUUUGACUCAACACGGGAAAACUCACCCGGCCCGGACACUGGAAGGAUUGACAGAUUGAGAGCUCUUUCUUGAUUCAGUGGGUGGUGGUGCAUGGCCGUUCUUAGUUGGUGGAGUGAUUUGUCUGGUUAAUUCCGAUAACGAACGAGACUCUAGCCUACUAAAUAGAUCGUCGGCUUACAAACGCCGACGAGACUUCUUAGAGGGACAGGCGGCGAUUCAGCCGCACGAAACAGAGCAAUAACAGGUCUGUGAUGCCCUUAGAUGUCCGGGGCCGCACGCGCGCUACACUGAAGUGAUCAGCGUGCUUUUUCAACCUACUCUGUCAAGAGUGGGGAACCCAAUGAACCUUCUUCGUGAUUGGGAUAGGGGAUUGUAAUUAUUCCCCUUGAACGAGGAAUUCCCAGUAAGCGCGAGUCAUAAGCUCGCGUUGAUUACGUCCCUGCCCUUUGUACACACCGCCCGUCGCUACUACGAUUGAAUGUUUUA